CUCUGACAAUUUGACCUCAAAUCGGGUGGGACUACCC
rnacentral:rRNA from 1 species